GCCUCCUUAGCUCAGCGGUAGAGCAGCUGAUUCGUAAUCAGCAGGUCGAGGGUUCAAAUCCUUGGGAGGCU
rnacentral:tRNA from 1 species